rnacentral:rRNA from 1 species
AGAGUUUGAUCCUGGCUCAGGACGAACGCUGGCGGCGUGCUUAACACAUGCAAGUCGAACGGUAAGGCCCUUCGGGGUACACGAGUGGCGAACGGGUGAGUAACACGUGGGUGAUCUGCCCUGCACUUUGGGAUAAGCCUGGGAAACUGGGUCUAAUACCGAAUACACCUCUCUGGCUGCAUGGCUGGUGGGGGAAAGCUUUUGCGGUGUGGGAUGGGCCCGCGGCCUAUCAGCUUGUUGGUGGGGUGAUGGCCUACCAAGGCGACGACGGGUAGCCGGCCUGAGAGGGUGUCCGGCCACACUGGGACUGAGAUACGGCCCAGACUCCUACGGGAGGCAGCAGUGGGGAAUAUUGCACAAUGGGCGCAAGCCUGAUGCAGCGACGCCGCGUGGGGGAUGACGGCCUUCGGGUUGUAAACCCCUUUCAGCACAGACGAAGCGCAAGUGACGGUAUUGCAGAAA